rnacentral:rRNA from 1 species
CCUACGGGCGGCUGCAGUGAGGAAUAUUGGUCAAUGGGCUUACGCCUGAACCAGCCAAGUCGCGUGAGGGAAGACUGCCCUAUGGGUUGUAAACCUCUUUUGUCAGGGAGCAACGCCGGCUACGUGUAGCCGGACUGAGAGUACCUGAAGAAAAAGCAUCGGCUAACUCCGUGCCAGCAGCCGCGGUAAUACGGAGGAUGCGAGCGUUAUCCGGAUUUAUUUGGUUUAAAGGGUGCGUAGGCGGAAUGCCAAGUCAGCGGUAAAAUCGCGGGGCUCAACCUCGCUCCGCCGUUGAAACUGGCGUUCCUGAGUGGGCGAGAAGUAUGGUGAAAGCGUGGUGUAGCGGGGAAAUGCAUAGAUAUCACGCAGAAAUCCGAUUGCGAAGGCAGCAUACCGGCGCCCAACUGACGCUGAAGCACGAAAGCGUGGGUAUCGAACAGGAUUAGAUACCCCAGUAGUC